GAACAACUGUGACGCUACACUUCCAAAACACCGAAGUUUAUAGCCAAGUUUGAAGAUGAAGACCAGUACGUUACUUUUGUUUUGUUUUCUGUCGUUGAUGGUCAUGGAUCCUGUUUCCUGUUUCUGGUAUGGUGAAAGAUGUCGGAGGAAUUGCGAUAACAGCCUAUGUUUGAGAAGUUGUAAGAGAAAAGGAUACUUAGGGGGUUCGUGCGCCCCUUCAGUCUACUGUCCGAUGCGUAGAAGAUUCAGGUGCAAGUGCUAUGGAAGACGUGGUUGAUAUGAGAAAACAGACAUUAUUCCAAUCCCCUCAUAAAAGAAUCCCAGAAUAGAUUGGAAUAAAGAUGAAAUUUUAAAA